rnacentral:tRNA from 1 species
GCGGGAGUAGCUCAAUUGGCAGAGCGCGAGUUUUCCAAACUCGAGGUUGCGGGUUCGAGACCCGUCUCCCGCUCCG